rnacentral:misc_RNA from 1 species
GAUGAAGAACGUAGCGAAAUGCGAUAAGUAAUGUGAAUUGCAGAAUUCAGUGAAUCAUCGAAUCUUUGAACGCACAUUGCGCCCGCCAGUAUUCUGGCGGGCAUGCCUGUCUGAGCGUCAUUUCAACCCUCAUGCCCCUAGGGCGCGGUGUUGGGGAUCGGCCAAAGCCCGCGAGGGACGGCCGGCCCCUAAAUCUAGUGGCGGACCCGUCGUGGCCUCCUCUGCGAAGUAGUGAUAUUCCGCAUCGGAGAGCGAUGAGCCCCUGCCGUUAAACCCCCAACUUUCCAAGGUUGACCUCAGAUCAGGUAGGAAUACCCGCUGAACUUAAGCAUAGCAAUAAGCGGAGGA